CCUUGUGUGAAUCCUUCGGGAGGAACUUUAGGGUGGAAAGUGGCGGACGGGCGAGUAACGCGUGAGUAACCUGCCCAUAAGAGGGGGAUAAUCCCUGGAAACGGGGACUAAUACCGCAUAUUGAAAUUUUAUGGCAUCAUAGAAUUUUGAAAGAUUUAUCGCUUAUGGAUGGACUCGCGUAAGAUUAGCUAGUUGGUGAGGUAACGGCUCACCAAGGCGACGAUCUUUAGCCGAACUGAGAGGUUGAUCGGCCGCAUUGGGACUGAGACACGGCCCAGACUCCUACGGGAGGCAGCAGUGGGGAAUAUUGCGCAAUGGGGGCAACCCUGACGCAGCAACGCCGCGUGCAGGAAGAAGGUCUUCGGAUUGUAAACUGUUGUCGCAAGGGAAGAAGACAGUGACGGUACCUUGUGAGAAAGUCACGGCUAACUACGUGCCAGCAGCCGCGGUAAUACGUAGGUGACAAGCGUUGUCCGGAUUUACUGGGUGUAAAGGGCGCGUAGGCGGACUGUCAAGUCAGUCGUGAAAUACCGAAGCUUAACUUCGGGGCUGCGAUUGAAACUGACAGCCUUGAGUAUCGGAGAGGAAAGCGGAAUUCCUAGUGUAGCGGUGAAAUGCGUAGAUAUUAGGAGGAACACCAGUGGCGAAGGCGGCUUUCUGGACGACAACUGACGCUGAGGCGCGAAAGUGUGGGGAGCAAACAGGAUUAGAUACCCUGGUAGUCCACACCGUANACGAUGGAUACUAGGUGUAGGAGGUAUCGACCNCUUCUGUGCCGCAGUU
rnacentral:rRNA from 1 species